rnacentral:rRNA from 1 species
CCUACGGGAGGCUGCAGUGGGGAAUAUUGCACAAUGGGGGAAACCCUGAUGCAGCGACGCCGCGUGAGUGAAGAAGUAAUUCGUUAUGUAAAGCUCUAUCAGCAGGGAAGAAAAUGACGGUUCCUGAGUAAGAAGCCCCGGCUAACUACGUGCCAGCAGCCGCGGUAAUACGUAGGGGGGAAGCGUUAUCCGGAGUUACUGGGUGGAAAGGGAGCGUAGACGGCAGUGCAAGACUGGAGUGAAAGGCGGGGGCUCAACCCCCGGACUGCUCUGGAAACUGUACGGCUGGAGUGCAGGAGAGGUAAGUGGAAUUCCUGGUGUAGCGGUGAAAUGCGUAGAUAUUAGGAGGAACACCAGUGGCGAAGGCGGCUUACUGGACUGUAACUGACGUUGAGGCUCGAAAGCGUGGGGAGCAAACAGGAUUAGAUACCCUUGUAGUC